GUGUCAGCCGCCGCGGUAAUACGAAGGGUGCAAGCGUUACUCGGAAUUACUGGGCGUAAAGCGUGCGUAGGUGGUUGUUUAAGUCUGUUGUGAAAGCCCUGGGCUCAACCUGGGAAUUGCAGUGGAUACUGGGCGACUAGAGUGUGGUAGAGGGUAGUGGAAUUCCCGGUGUAGCAGUGAAAUGCGUAGAGAUCGGGAGGAACAUCCAUGGCGAAGGCAGCUACCUGGACCAACACUGACACUGAGGCACGAAAGCGUGGGGAGCAAACAGGAUUAGAAACCCCCGUAGUCC
rnacentral:rRNA from 1 species